GGCGGAGUGGCGCAAUGGUAGCGUGUGGUCCUCCUACAAGAAGGAUCAAGACUGAGGUUGUGGGUUCGAGUCCCAUCUUCGUCG
rnacentral:tRNA from 1 species